GACGAACGCUGGCGGCGUGCUUAACACAUGCAAGUCGAACGGAAAGGCCCUGCUUUUGUGGGGUGCUCGAGUGGCGAACGGGUGAGUAACACGUGAGUAACCUGCCCUUGGCUUUGGGAUAACUUCAGGAAACUGGGGCUAAUACCGGAUAGGAGCUCCUGCUGCAUGGUGGGGGUUGGAAAGUUUCGGCGGUUGGGGAUGGACUCGCGGCUUAUCAGCUUGUUGGUGGGGUAGUGGCUUACCAAGGCUUUGACGGGUAGCCGGCCUGAGAGGGUGACCGGCCACAUUGGGACUGAGAUACGGCCCAGACUCCUACGGGAGGCAGCAGUGGGGAAUAUUGCACAAUGGGCGGAAGCCUGAUGCAGCAACGCCGCGUGCGGGAUGACGGCCUUCGGGUUGUAAACCGCUUUCGCCUGUGACGAGGCGUGAGUGACGGUAAUGGGUAAAGAAGCACCGGCUAACUACGUG
rnacentral:rRNA from 1 species